AUACGGAGGGUACAAACGUUAAUCGGAAUUACUGGGCGUAAAGCGCGCGUAGGUGGUUUGUUAAGUGGGAUGUGAAAGCCCCGGGCUCAACCUGGGAACUGCAUUCCAAACUGACGAACUAGAGUACGAUAGAGGGGGGUAGAAUUCAGAGUGUAGCGGUGAAAUGCGUAGAUAUUCUGAGGAAUACCGGUGGCGAAGGCGGCCCCCUGGAUUGAUACUGACACUGAGGUGCGAAAGCGUGGGGAGCAAACAGGAUUAGAAACCCUUGUAGUCC
rnacentral:rRNA from 1 species